rnacentral:rRNA from 1 species
UACGAAGGGGGCUAGCGUUGCUCGGAAUUACUGGGCGUAAAGCGCACGUAGGCGGCUCUUUAAGUCGGAGGUGAAAUCCUGGAGCUCAACUCCAGAACUGCCUUCGAUACUGAAGAGCUCGAGUCCGGGAGAGGUGAGUGGAACUGCGAGUGUAGAGGUGAAAUUCGUAGAUAUUCGCAAGAACACCAGUGGCGAAGGCGGCUCACUGGCCCGGUACUGACGCUGAGGUGCGAAAGCGUGGGGAGCCAAACAGG